AUAUAUGUAAAGGGUCCUGCCUGCCCGGUGACUUAAGUUAAACGGCCGCGGUAUUUUGACCGUGCAAAGGUAGCAUAAUCAUUUGCCUCUUAAAUGGGGGCUGGUAUGAAUGGCAAGACGGAAAUCAAACUGUCUCUCUCUUAUAUUUUGAAGUUAAUAUUUUUGUGAAGAAACAGAAAUAGGAUCGUAGGACGAGAAGACCCUAUCGAGCUUUAGUAAAAAUAAGGUGUAAUUUUAUUAAUGCUGCUUUAUUGCUAAUUAGUUGUUAGUAAUAAUUUUUGAUUUUACUGUAAAAGCGGCAGAGUUGUACAUAUAUACUUGGGUUGGGGCAACCGCGGAGAAAAAGUAUCCUCCGUUAUUUUUAUUGGUAAAAAAUAAUUUUUCAAUAUAAAGUUUAUUAAGAGUGAGCCAUCUUUAAUGGUGAGUAAAAGAAUAAGUUACCGUAGGGAUAACAGCGUAAUUUUUUUGGAGAGUUCAUAUUGAUAAAAAAGUUUGCGACCUCGAUGUUGGAUCGGGAUUUCCUGGGGAUGCAGCAGUUCCUAAUGGUUGGUCUGUUCGACCA
rnacentral:rRNA from 1 species